GCCGCCACCACCCUGCUUCCCUUUGCUUUGCGCUAUGCAAUGGCUGCUGGGUUGGGUGGCAGAUGCCUGAGGUGAACCCCUGGGGAUAUAGCUGGGCGUGCUGUCCGUCCAUCCACCCAUCCAUCUUUCCGUCCGUCCGUCCGUCCGUCCAUCCAUCCAUCCGUCCGUCCGUCCGUCCGUCCCCGGGCCGCCUCUCCGCGGAUCAGCCAGCAAGGGGCGCUGGGCGGCGGGUUUGCGGGGCGGCGGGUUUGCGGGCUGCGGAUCACCUGCAGCAGCGGGGGGGCCGGGAGCUCCGCCCUCCCCCCCCCGCCGUUAAUCGCAUCCCCCUCCCCCUGUGCCAGGCACUGGCACUGAGGCGGCCGAGCCGCUCCGAGCCGUGCCGAGCCUCGCCAACCUGCUGCAGGCGGGCGGGCACCCGCACCCCGCUCGCAGCCGGGGCCGGGCUGGGGCUGCCGCCUCCGCCAUCCCCGCACUUGCCCCAGCCCGGUAGGGCGGCCAGCCUUCGGCCGCCUCCUCCUCCUCACCGGCAGCCACCGCCGCCGCCCGGCAGAAAGACAGAGCGGGGGAGCCAUGGCCGAGGGGGGCGAGGGCGAGGACGAGAUCCAGUUCCUGCGAACUAA
rnacentral:lncRNA from 1 species